rnacentral:lncRNA from 1 species
AUGCCACACAUACACAUACCACACACAUGCCACACAAACACUUCAUGCAUGUACACACACCAUGGAUACACCACACCAUACACAUGCCACAUACACAAACGUAUACCACAUAAACACCACACAUACCACACAUGCACACACCACACACAUACACACACAUACCACACCCACACACACCACACCACACACACCACACAUUCCACAUAUACACCACAUAUUAUAUACACACCACACAUGCACACAUCACACACAUACACACACCAUACCACACCCAUACCACACACACUCCACACAUACAUACACCACAUAGACACCACACCAUACACAUACCACACACAUACUGCACAAUACACAUACCACACAUAUGCAUCACAUUACAUACACACACCACACACACUACACUCACAUACAUACCACACUACACAUACCAUACCGUAUACUACUCACAUAUGUAGCACACACACACAUACCACACAAGCAGACACAGAUACCCCAUAUACAAGAUACGAACAUUCACCAGACAUAUACACCAUUCAACACAUGCCACACACAUACCACACACAUACACAAUCCACACAUACAUACACACCAAACCUACAUAUACUACAUCCACAUACAUGCACCAUACUUACAAUACACAUAUACACACACCACACGCACACUGCACACAUACACACCACACACUAUACCACACACACCACACACACCACACACACACCACACACAUGCCACACACACCACACAUACACACCACACACAUGCCACACACACCACACCACACACAUGCCACACACACCACACACAUACACACCACACACAUACUGCACAAUACACAUACCACACAUACACACAUACACACACCACACAUACAUACCACAAACAUAUACACACCACACACAUUCACACAUACCACACUACACAUACACCACACACCACAUGUACACACACAUACCACACCACACACACCACACCACACAUACACACACCACACACAUACAAACAUAUACCACAUAA